UUAAAUUAAAGAUUGGUAAUUUUAGUAUUACAUUUUAUUUAUAUAUGUAUCCCUAAUUUUAUUUAUUUAAUUUUAUUAAUUUAGGAUUUUGAACCUUAUUGUUCCAUACCAGGAUGCAUAUCUAAUAUAACUGAUACUGAUGAAGGACCCUAUCGUUUCACACCAACAAUAGAAUGUGUAGAUGAGUGGAGUUCAGCAUUAGGUUUAAAGUUGAGUGUAAACUGUUAUAUCUGUGAAAGACACUUCAGACCGCAAGACUUAAUUUGUGAAGAAUUUUUGGUAGAUGGUUUAAACAAAGUAGUAAAAUUAUUAGUCAAUUCUGCUUUGCCAGUACCAAUUAAUACUGUGCGGUCAGCAUCCAAUUCUAGAAACAAUUUAUCAGAUAAUACAGAUAAUUGUUUUAAAUAUAAUAAUACUAUGACAAUUGAUGAAUUUCCAAACGUUGAUUUAAAACUCAAACAAAAACUGAAGAACAUUUCAGCUAAAAAUUCGGUAUCCAUCACUUUGGAACCUAAAGUAAUAGAACCAUCAGUAGAUUUAUUUUCAAAAACUUCUGCCGCUAUAAAGACUCCAGUUAUUUCAAAAUGUAUAUCAUUAGCCAGAAUACCAGAUACA